AUUGAACGCUGGCGGCAGGCCUAACACAUGCAAGUCGAGCGAGCGGCGGACGGGUGAGUAAUGUCUGGGAAACUGCCUGAUGGAGGGGGGUAACUACUGGAAAAGGUAGCUAAUACCGCAUACCAUCAGAGGUGCCCAGAUGGGAUUAGCUAGUAGGUGGGGUAAUGGCUCACCUAGACGACGAUCCCUAGCUGGUCUGAGAGGAUGACCAGCAACACUGUAACUUGGACACGGUCUAGACUCCUACGGGAGGCAGCAGGGGGGAAUAUUGGACAAUGGGCGCAAGCCGGAUGCAGCCAUGCCGCGUGUGUGAAGAAGGCCUUCGGGUUGGAAAGCACUUUCAGCGGGGAGGCGUUACCCGCAGAAGAAGCACCGGCUAACUCCGUGCCAGCCGCCGCGGUAAUUC
rnacentral:rRNA from 1 species